UACAGAGGGAGCAAACGUUGCUCGGAAUCACUGGGCGUAAAGGGCGUGUAGGCGGGUAGGCAAGUCAGAUGUGAAAUCCCUGGGCUCAACCCAGGAACUGCAUUUGAAACUCCCUUUCUUGAGUGUCGGAGAGGAAAGCGGAAUUCCUGGUGUAGAGGUGAAAUUCGUAGAUAUCAGGAGGAACACCGGUGGCGAAGGCGGCUUUCUGGACGGCAACUGACGCUGAGACGCGAAAGCGUGGGGAGCAAACGGG
rnacentral:rRNA from 1 species